UACAGAACACGGUCGGGCUGUGCCUCGAAUGGGAAAGGGCGAGGUUAACAACUGCAAUGAGUUGGCAGAAGAACACACCGCUGUGUGGGAGAGUCUCCAAGAAAGGAGAGACCAUCUACUCAUGCAGGGACUGUGCUUUGGAACCCACCUCUGUGCUGUGUGAGGACUGUUUCCAGAACAGCACGCACAGAGGUCAUGCCUACAAGGUGUGUUUCCAGCGGAUGAUGCCUCGUAGUUCUGCUCUUCUUUAGCGCAUGUUCUGUUUGGAUAAACUUGUAUUUUUUACACCACCUAUACAAACAUGGAAGAACAUCACAGUGU